UAUUGAACCUCAAAUUUCUUUUUCAUUGAAGGAUCAACUUCAAAGGACACUCAAGUGAAUUCAAGCAUUGCAUUUACUCUUCCUGGACUGGAUCAACAUGAGGUCAUCAGUGCAUGCCCCGGAUUCCUGUUCCUGAUGGCACCACGAUGCAGGAUCUCCUCUUGCUGAGGAGCAGGUUUCACAUCCAGGCUCUCAGUGCAGAGAGAUGGGCUCUCUGUGCCCAGCCUGCCUGCACAGAGAUGGGCUCUCCUGACGUGGAUAGGCUCCCCAAACCUCCAAAGAGCCUGUGCAUAGGUACCUACGAGCACUCACCCAUACACCAGGAGGAGAUCCAGAGGGAUGGUGAUGGGUCUCUGCAGCUUCAUCCCACAAGUUGUAACUUGUCCAUGACCUGAUGUGGAGAGAGGCCUCUUGAGAUCGUCUGUGUGAGAGCAUGAAAGGACCCAUCCCAACUCCUGGCACAGCACCAAGCCCCUGAACACCAACCUGGCAACCACAGAUCCAUCAUGGAAGUUGGCCUUGUUUUAGUGUCUUCAUGGGUGAGGUACAGCACAGUAUGUACCAGCCAGGUACAACUCCGGGGAAGAGUUUGGAGAAGGGUUUGGAUCAGUGAUCUUCUGACAAUCCCCUGCCCUGAGGUAUUAGGGAUAAAAAUGGAGAAAUUAUAAAAUUAGCAGCAACUGAUUUUUGGGAAACUGCUCGGCAACAAUGAAGAUCACUUCUGGUCUGGUGUCACAGAGGGAGAAAACUUCUGCCCCAUCCCGUGAGUUGUGUACC